CAAUGGAAGCAAACACAGUAGGGCAAACCAAUUUCAGAUUUUUAUCUGAAAUCAAAAGCCUAGAAAAGGUGAAUCUGCCGAAUAGUUCGGGCCGAAUCCUGAGGAAAGUUCAAAGCGCUGUUUGACGAGCCUACGUAGUAUUAGUUAGUUGGCCAGGUAAAGGCUGACAAGCCAAUGAUGCUUAGCUAGUCUUUUUGAAUGAUUAGCCACACUGGGACUGAGACAUGGCCCAGACUCCCAUGGGAGGCAGCAGAGGGAAUCUUGGACAAUGGGCGAAAGCCCGAUCCAGCAAUAUCGCGUGAGUGAAGAAGGUCAAUGCUCCUUGUAAAGCUCUUACGUUGAGUGCGUGAUCAUGACAUAUCUCGAGGAAGAAGUAACUCCAUGCCAGUAGCCGCGCUAAGACGGGGGGG
rnacentral:ncRNA from 1 species